rnacentral:lncRNA from 1 species
CUUAAGUAACCCAUCACACUCCCUCUCCCAACCCUUCCACCCCGCCACUUCUUUCCCCGCACCUCUCACCUCCCGAUCUCCCAAUCAUCUCACUAUCUCUAUGCCAAAUCUACACUUGCUGUCGCUCCCAAUCGGAUCCCACUGCUAUGGGCCAAUUUCACCACUCGAGGAUGCACAUCGAAGAGUCUGAAGUCCACAAUCGUCGAUCUAGCCUUCUCUCUGUCGAUGAAGAAGCACGCCUCAACAAGAUGCAUCGAUGCUAGCUCACUGCUAGUCCAAUACUAUCUUUGGUCCCAUUUCUUUUCCCCUUUCAUGGAUUUAACCCCCCUCCCUUUUUUUCUUUCUUUCUUAUCUCUCUCUCUCUAUUUUCUCUCAACCCUCUCCAUCGUCAUCCCCAUCUCCGUAAACCCAACCCUAAACCUAGCCCUAACCC